UACGGAGGGUGCGAGCGUUGUCCGGAAUCACUGGGCGUAAAGGGCGCGCAGGCGGCCUGAUAAGUAGGGGGUGAAAUCCUGCGGCUUAACCGCAGGGCUGCCUUCUAAACUGUCAGGCUUGAGCACAGUAGAGGCAGGUGGAAUUCCCGGUGUAGCGGUGGAAUGCGUAGAGAUCGGGAAGAACAUCAGUGGCGAAGGCGGCCAUCUGGACCAGCACUGACGCUGAGGCACGAAAGCGUGGGGAGCAAACAGG
rnacentral:rRNA from 1 species